UACAGAGGGGGCGAGCGUUGUUCGGAAUUACUGGGCGUAAAGGGCGCGUAGGCGGCCUGCUAAGUCAUACGUGAAAUCCCUCGGCUCAACCGGGGAACUGCGUGUGAUACUGGCGGGCUUGAAUUCGGGAGAGGGAUGCGGAAUUCCAGGUGUAGCGGUGAAAUGCGUAGAUAUCUGGAGGAACACCGGUGGCGAAGGCGGCAUCCUGGACCGAGAUUGACGCUGAUGCGCGAAA
rnacentral:rRNA from 1 species